rnacentral:rRNA from 1 species
GGCUUAGAAGCAGCCAUCAUUUAAAGAAAGCGUAAUAGCUCACUGGUCGAGUCGGCCUGCGCGGAAGAUGUAACGGGGCUAAACCAUGCACCGAAGCUGCGGCAGCGACGCUGAUGCGUUGUUGGGUAGGGGAGCGUUCUGUAAGCCUGUGAAGGUGGCCUGUGAGGGUUGCUGGAGGUAUCAGAAGUGCGAAUGCUGACAUAAGUAACGAUAAAGCGGGUGAAAAGCCCGCUCGCCGGAAGACCAAGGGUUCCUGUCCAACGUUAAUCGGGGCAGGGUGAGUCGACCCCUAAGGCGAGGCCGAAAGGCGUAGUCGAUGGGAAACGGGUUAAUAUUCCCGUACUUGGUGUUACUGCGAAGGGGGGACGGAGAAGGCUAUGUUGGCCGGGCGACGGUUGUCCCGGUUUAAGCGUGUAGGUGUGUGUUCCAGGUAAAUCCGGUUCACUUUAACACUGAGGCGUGAUGACGAGGCACUACGGUGCUGAAGCAACAAAUGCCCUGCUUCCAGGAAAAGCCUCUAAGCAUCAGGUAACAUCAAAUCGUACCCCAAACCGACACAGGUGGUCAGGUAGAGAAUACCAAGGCGCUUGAGAGAACUCGGGUGAAGGAACUAGGCAAAAUGGUGCCGUAACUUCGGGAGAAGGCACGCUGACAC